AAUGUGGAAUUCGCCCUUCUUGGUCAUUUAGAGGAAGUAAAAGUCGUAACAAGGUUUCCGUAGGUGAACCUGCGGAAGGAUCAUUAAAGAAAUUUAAUAAUUUUGAAAAUGGAUUUUUUUUUGUUUUGGCAAGAGCAUGAGAGCUUUUACUGGGCAAGAAGACAAGAGAUGGAGAGUCCAGCCGGGCCUGCGCUUAAGUGCGCGGUCUUGCUAGGCUUGUAAGUUUCUUUCUUGCUAUUCCAAACGGUGAGAGAUUUCUGUGCUUUUGUUAUAGGACAAUUAAAACCGUUUCAAUACAACACACUGUGGAGUUUUCAUAUCUUUGCAACUUUUUCUUUGGGCAUUCGAGCAAUCGGGGCCCAGAGGUUAACAAACACAAACAAUUUUAUCUAUUCAUUAAAUUUUCGUCAAAAACAAGAAUUUUCGUAACUGGAAAUUUUAAAAUAUUAAAAACUUUCAACAACGGAUCUCUUGGUCCUCGCAUCGAUGAAGAACGCAGCGAAAUGCGAUACGUAAUGUGAAUUGCAGAAUUCCGUGAAUCAUCGAAUCUUUGAACGCACAUUGCGCCCCUUGGUAUUCCAGGGGGCAUGCCUGUUUGAGCGUCAUUUCCUUCUCAAACAUUCUGUUUGGUAGUGAGUGAUACUCUUUGGAGUUAACUUGAAAUUGCUGGCCUUUUCAUUGGAUGUUUUUUUUUCCAAAGAGAGGUUUCUUCUGCGUGCUUGAGGUAUAAUGCAAGUACGGUCGUUUUAGGUUUUACCAACUGCGGCUAAUCUUUUUUAUACUGAGCGUAUUGGAACGUUAUCGAUAAGAAGAGAGCGUCUAGGCAAACAAUGUUCUUAAAGUUUGACCUCAAAUCAGGUAGGAGUACCCGCUGAACUUAAGCAUAUCAAUAAGCGGAGGAAAAGAAACCAACCGGGAUUGCCUUAGUAACGGCGAGUGAAGCGGCAAAAGCUCAAAUUUGAAAUCUGGUACCUUCGGUGCCCGAGUUGUAAUUUGGAGAGGGCAACUUUGGGGCCGUUCCUUGUCUAUGUUCCUUGGAACAGGACGUCAUAGAGGGUGAGAAUCCCGUGUGGCGAGGAGUGCGGUUCUUUGUAAAGUGCCUUCGAAGAGUCGAGUUGUUUGGGAAUGCAGCUCUAAGUGGGUGGUAAAUUCCAUCUAAAGCUAAAUAUUGGCGAGAGACCGAUAGCGAACAAGUACAGUGAUGGAAAGAUGAAAGGAACUUUGAAAAGAGAGUGAAAAAGUACGUGAAAUUGUUGAAAGGGAAGGGCAUUUGAUCAGACAUGGUGUUUUGUGCCCUCUGCUCCUUGUGGGUAGGGGAAUCUCGCAUUUCACUGGGCCAGCAUCAGUUUUGGUGGCAGGAUAAAUCCAUAGGAAUGUAGCUUGCCUCGGUAAGUAUUAUAGCCUGUGGGAAUACUGCCAGCUGGGACUGAGGACUGCGACGUAAGUCAAGGAUGCUGGCAUAAUGGUUAUAUGCCGCCCGUCUUGAAACACGGACCAAGGGCGAAUUCCACAGUG
rnacentral:rRNA from 1 species